CUCAGGAUGAACGCUGGCGGCGUGCCUAAUACAUGCAAGUCGAGCGAACGGACAGGAGUGCUUGCACUCCUUGAAGUUAGCGGCGGACGGGUGAGUAACACGUGGGUAACCUACCUAUAAGACUGGGAUAACUUCGGGAAACCGGAGCUAAUACCGGAUAAUAUAUACCUCCGCAUGGAGGAAUAGUCAAAGACGGUUCUGCUGUCACUUAUAGAUGGACCCGCGGUGUAUUAGCUAGUUGGUGAGGUAACGGCUCACCAAGGCAACGAUACAUAGCCGACCUGAGAGGGUGAUCGGCCACACUGGGACUGAGACACGGCCCAGACUCCUACGGGAGGCAGCAGUAGGGAAUCUUCCGCAAUGGACGAAAGUCUGACGGAGCAACGCCGCGUGAGUGAAGAAGGUUUUCGGAUCGUAAAACUCUGUUGUAAGGGAAGAACAAGUACGUUAGUAACUGAACGUACCUGACG
rnacentral:rRNA from 1 species